AACACAUGCAAGUCGAGCGGUAACAGAAAUUAGCUUGCUAAUUUGCAGACGAGCGGCGGACGGGUGAGUAAUGCCUGGGAAUAUGCCUUAGUGUGGGGGAUAACUAUUGGAAACGAUAGCUAAUACCGCAUAAUGUCUUCGGACCAAAGAGGGGGCUCUUCGGACCUCUCGCGUCAAGAUUAGCCCAGGUGAGAUUAGCUAGUUGGUGGGGUAAGAGCUCACCAAGGCGACGAUCUCUAGCUGGUCUGAGAGGAUGAUCAGCCACACUGGAACUGAGACACGGUCCAGACUCCUACGGGAGGCAGCAGUGGGGAAUAUUGCACAAUGGGCGAAAGCCUGAUGCAGCCAUGCCGCGUGUAUGAAGAAGGCCUUCGGGUUGUAAAGUACUUUCAGUCGUGAGGAAGGGUGUGUAGUUAAUAGCUGCACAUCUUGACGUUAGCGACAGAAGAAGCACCGGCUAACUCCGUGCCAGCAGCCGCGGUAAUACGGAGGGUGCGAGCGUUAAUCGGAAUUACUGGGCGUAAAGCGCAUGCAGGUGGUUCAUUAAGUCAGAUGUGAAAGCCCGGGGCUCAACCUCGGAACCGCAUUUGAAACUGGUGAACUAGAGUGCUGUAGAGGGGGGUAGAAUUUCACGUGUAGCGGUGAAAUGCGUACAGAUCUGAAAGGAAUACCAGUGGGCGAAAGCGGCCCCUAGACAGACACAGACACCUCACAUGCGAAAGCGAGGAGGAGCAGAGCAGGAUUAGAUACCCUGGUAGUCCACGCCCCUCCACGAUGUCUACUUGGAGGUUGUGGCCUUGAGCCGCGGCCUUUCGGAGCUACGCGUUAAGUAGACUGCCUGG
rnacentral:rRNA from 1 species